UUCCUUUUCUUGCUCUCCUCUCUGUACUUUUUUCGAUGCUUAUAGUGAUUUUAAAGCCUUUUGGAGUUGUGAAAUCAAAGUGCAUAUGCCUCUUUUGGUGCGGAAUACUGACAUGGUUUUCAUAAAUGCAGUCACUUAUGUAAGCUAUGGUAAGACAUGUGAAUCAACAUACGACUUAGAAAGGUGUACUUUUCAUUCAAUUUUGUCUUCUUGUCAUACAUGUAAACGCUGAAAGAGAACAAAACGUAUCUCAAUUUACCCACAAACAAAAGACCAGAUUUGUUCUGCCUGCUAAGUUGUGUCUCGAUUAUUUCAAGCAUGUUUCAAGGGUCAGAUGAUCGUGCCAUGAACCUGUAGUGAGCUUCUUUUGCAACAGCAUAUUGGAUAGAGCAUUUCAAGCGCGACUGUCGACGAGAGGGUCCACUUCAUAAGGUCUACAGUAGAGAUAUAUCCUCAGUCUUCCGAAGUCGAGAUAACUCGCCAUUUCAGUAUUAAAGUAAAAACUGUGUAAUGUCUUGAAAAUAAAUAAUAUACUCUUUAAAUAAGACUGAAAUAUUUUUUGGUGUUCAGCAACUUCCGACUGAGUAAUGAGCAAUUAUUGUGCUUAUGACCCCUUAAACCAACUCCCCGGGAUAAUGAAGAGGUCCUUUAUUCUACUUAUAUAACCACCUGUUGAUCCGUCAGAAAUUCAUAUCAGAACGUCAGGGAAAUAACGUAUGCAUAACAGAUUAAUAUCAAAUUUAUCGAAUCUUGCACUAUACUCUCGGAAAAAGGAACUUUGAUUCCUUUUUAGGCUUUUUAAGGUCAACGAGACUUCUCGUCGCGUACAACAUGUGGUGAUUUGCGUUUUCUGCGAGCUAAUGUCAAUAUAGGUUUUAUUUGAUGAUGCAUUGGGCCGUAUUGACGUUCGUACUGUCUAUUGCUGUCACAGGAACCACAGGUG